AGAGUUUGAUCCUGGCUCAGAACGAACGCUGGCGGCAUGCCUAACACAUGCAAGUCGAACGAUGCUUUCGGGCAUAGUGGCGCACGGGUGCGUAACGCGUGGGAAUCUGCCCUUGGGUUCGGAAUAACAGUUGGAAACGACUGCUAAUACCGGAUGAUGUCGAUAAGACCAAAGAUUUAUCGCCCGAGGAUGAGCCCGCGUCGGAUUAGCUAGUUGGUGGGGUAAAGGCCUACCAAGGCGACGAUCCGUAGCUGGUCUGAGAGGAUGAUCAGCCACACUGGGACUGAGACACGGCCCAGACUCCUACGGGAGGCAGCAGUGGGGAAUAUUGGACAAUGGGCGCAAGCCUGAUCCAGCAAUGCCGCGUGAGUGAUGAAGGCCUUAGGGUUGUAAAGCUCUUUUACCCGGGAAGAUAAUGACUGUACCGGGAGAAUAAGCCCCGGCUAACUCCGUG
rnacentral:rRNA from 1 species